ACAGAGGCCCCAGUGAAGUCACAGUGCCACCAGCAGAGUCACCGAGCAUCCUUGGGGGACACGAUGGGAGCUAGUCUGGUGGUGGGACAUCCCGGACUCCACAUCCUGAUCCCACAUCCUGAUCCCACAUCCCGAGGGAGUGCGGAAUGAGCUCUCCCCCUCACGCUGCCAGGAGGACCAAGGUGGAGCUCUGGGGGAGGACAGAGGUUGCUUCAGCCACCACCCCUGAAGGUACCAGCACCUCCUGGACCCCAGGAAUGCCAGAACCUGUCGGGACCGACCCUGACUGAGUUUUCCUCAAUUUCCAGAGUGGAAGAAAAUUUGGGAUGCAGUGGCUGACUUUGUCCUGGAAGAGCUCCUGCUGCGGAAGAAGGGGGUGUGGAUCCCAACCCUCGGCGCCCUGGAUGUGGUUCCCUGGCGGGUGCAGGUUGGAGACGUGGAGGUGACAACAUGGAGGCCGAUUUUUUGCCUGGCCAGGAAUUUGGUCCAGAGCCACAAUUUGAUGGAUGACUGGGAAUUCUGGCCUGGUAGGACCAUGGGGAUUCUGAGGUGGACACAGAUGGAGGUAGAGGGUUAAGGGAGGGGGUGGAAAGUGGGGAGUUGAAAGGUGUGAGAAGAAACCAAGAAAAUGUGAGAAGACCCUAAAAGUCCAUGAGGAGAUCCCAAAAACCACAAGGAGACCUCAAAAAAACGAGAUCCCAAAAAUCACAAGGAGAACUGUCCCAAAAAACUAAGAGGACAUCCCAAAAAAUUCAUGAGGAGCCCCCAAAACCCAUGAAGACACUCUAAAAAGCCCCAUGAGAAGAACCCAAAAAUCACAAGAAGACCCCCAAACAUGUGAGGAGACCCAAAAAUACAUUACAAGACCUCAGAAAAAGCGCAUGACAAGACCCCAAAAAACCAUAAGAAGAUCCCAAAACCACAAGGAGGUCCCAUAAAACAAUAAGGAGACCCCCACAAAAGACAAGGAUAGCCCAUAAAACCCUGAGAAGACGCCCAAAACCCACAAGUCCCCAAAAAAACAUGAGAAGAAUCCCUAAAACCCAUGAGGACACACAAAAAAAAAAUCUACAAGAAGAUGACUACAUUCACAAGGAGAACCCCAAAAAUAUAGGUAAACCCCAAAUCUCCCCCGAAAACCAAAAAGGGACCCAGAAAACCCCACAAGAAGUCCUCAAAACCCCAAAACCCAUUAGGAGACCCCAAAAAUUUUGUAGAGACCCUAAAAAUUACUAUAAGAGCCCAGGAGACCUCAGAAAACCAUGAGGAGACCCCCAAAAUCAUGACCCAACCCCAAAAAAUUGCAUAGUAAGACAAAAAAAAAAAAAAAAAGAGAAAACCCCAAAAAACCAGAAGGAACUCCCAAAAAACCACAAGAAAACCCCAAAAAUCACAAGCAGACCCCAAAAUACCAUUAGGUGACCCUUAUGCUCCUGAGGAGACUCCCAGAAAUCACAAGAGGACCCCAAAAAUAACGAGAAAACCCCCCAAAAAAGUACAUAAAUCAAGGACGACCCCAUAAAUCAAUGAGGAGACCCCCAAAAAUACAGGGACACCCCAUAAAACCAUGAGAAGGCCCCAAAACCCAAGAGAAGACCCUACAAAAUGAACAGAAGUCCCAAAAAUCCCAUAAGAAGACCCUACAGACAUAUGAGAAAACCUCAAAAACCCACAAGAAACCCUCCCAAAAAAAUGAGAAGGCUCCAAAACCUCUGAGGAGAUGUCCAAAAAACUCAAAAAAUAUGUAGACACCCAAAAAACCCCACAAGAAAAAUCCCAUAAAACCACGAGAAGGCCCCUAAAAAACACAAGGGGACAAAGAAAAUCACUCAAGACCCCAAAUCACCCUGAGAAGACCCCAAGACAUCCUAAGACACUAAAAAAAAAAAAAACAUGAGAGGACCACAAUAGCCACAAGGUGACCCCACAAAACCUCAAGAAACCCGCAAAACCCAACCACAGAAGGCCAAACCCCGCGGGGAUACCCCAAAUCCCCCCCAUCUUCCACGUCCUCCAGGGAAGCUGGAUUCACUGCGGACGUUCGCAGUGGCAGCAGCGCUGGGACUGCCCCGGCGCAGGGUGGAGGGCGCCCUCCAGGCCACCAUGUCCCUCCUGUCGCGGUGCCUGGGCACAGGGGAGGACGUGGCCCUGGUCCUGGGGGACAUCGGAGUCCUGCUGGUGGAGCGGCGCAAGGUCCGCAUGAGGUUCUACCGCGACUUCCUGGAGGCGGUGGCCGGGAAGGAGAACCUGGAAAACGGGGUCUUCAAGGUGAGGGGGUUGAGGGGACGAGGGCAGGGGAGUGGAGCUGUCCUUUAAAAUCACCUCGUCCACGGGGAGAAGGUCCUGCCAUCUUUGGCAUUCUUAAGCCCCUCGGCCACGUUGAGGAGAUCCCAUCGUUUUUGGGAUUCCCCAGCAUUUCCUCAUACACAUGAAAGGGGUCCCAACAUCUUUGAGGCCCUCUUUGGUCCCCUUCAUUGUUGAGUUCCUCAUCCACAUUGAGGAAGUUCCACCAUCUUUGGGGUCCCUGAGUCCCCUGGUCAUAUUGAGGAGAUCCCACUAUCUUUGGGUUCCUCCAAUGUUCCCUUAUCCAAGUUAAGGAGGUCACACCAUCUUUGGGGUCCUCUCUGGGCUCCUGCAAUGCUGGGCUCCUCGUCUUUGUGGUUUUCUAUCACUGCUGCCUUCAUCCGUGACAGGAAGUUUCGUCCAUCUUGGUUCUCCUGCAACACUGAGCUUCUCAUCCAUGGGAAGAUCCCACUAUCUUUGGGGUCUUCUAAUGUCGAGUUCCUCAUCCCUGUGGAGAAAGUCCCAUCCCCGUUCUCUUCUUCUACAGAUCCAGGAGCUCCUGGACAUUGUGGUGCCCCGGGGAGUCCCUGUGGCUGCUCUGACCUCGUUUGGCUCCAUCAUCGUCUUCCCUGAAUUUGAGAGGGAAAUGGUCCAGGCACCACUUUCAAGGGUGCAGCUGCUACAGAGCCUUCAGAACCUCCCCAAGGAGACCCCACAUCCCAGGGGUGAUCUGGGACCACACAUCAGGAAAGAAGGGAAAGGCAGGAAAACUGGGAGAGGCAGAGAAGUUCCAAAGACAGUUUCUGGACUAUCAGGAAGAGAGGAAAAUCCUGAGGAAGAGAUUCCAGAAAAACAGAAAACCCAGAGGAGGAAGGGGAAGGAGAGGAA